UCAAAUCUUGCCUCAGGCACUUUCUAGUUUUUGACCCUGGGCAAGGAAUAUAGCUUCUUUCUGCCUCAGUUUCCCAACUGUAAGAUAGGUAGAGAAACUGAGGCCCAAGAAGAGGGAAAGCUACACCUGAGGCAGGCAGGUCUACCAUGAAACUUCAACCCCACUUCAAUACACAGGACAUCUCCUGCUUUUUCCCUGGGGAAAAUGCUUUAAUUUCUAUAGAAAUGGUAGCAUCUUUUGUCUGAGUGCAGUUGAGUGACAGAUGAUGUCUAUUUCUACCAGUUAUGGUAAGGGGCUGGGACGAGGCAGGGUGGCUGUUGCCCUGAGCUUUGUGACAUGAGUCCAGGGCAAUCCUGAUGAGGAGGCAGCUGCCAACAUAGUGUGAUGUGAAAGUCCUUGAGGCAGAAACACUGUUACAGCAUGAUGGAUUCAACUAAGCACACAUUUACUAUGUAUCUACUUGGGUCACUAAACUGUCCUCAGCCACGUGACAAGUUUGAAUUGAGGCUCAGCUGCUCACUCCCUCUGUGAUCUUGAGUAAAUCACCUCUACUCCCUGGGCUUCAAACUCUGUCAAAUGGGGAAGUUGGACUUAAUGAGCUCUCAGGUCUUCAGCAAUUCUUAAUCCUGUGCUCAUAUGAUUCACUCACACUUAAGAAAUCUCAGAGCCAAGAAUGGAACCCAGGUCUUCUUGGUGCUGCUCUUGGGAAGUCUCCUUUGACCACUUUAACCCCCCAAACCCUGUUCCUUCCUCCAAACUCUGGCAGUACUUACUGUCUGUAGCACACAUGGAUGUGGAUUAUGAGUUCUUUUACUAUCAGACUCUCCAGAAUGCCAAGAAUCAGUUUCAAGGCAGAAGAGUGACAGUUAGUCAAUGGAGGUUAAGUGACUUGCCCAAGGUCAUCCAGCUAAGAAGUGUCUGAGGUCAGAUUUGAACCCAGGACCUCCUGCUCUCUGGAUCUGGAUCUCAAUCCACUGAGCUACCUAACUGCCUUCUGC
rnacentral:lncRNA from 1 species